rnacentral:rRNA from 1 species
GCGUAAAGGGCUCGCAGGCGGUUUCUUAAGUCUGAUGUGAAAGCCCCCGGCUCAACCGGGGAGGGUCAUUGGAAACUGGGGAACUUGAGUGCAGAAGAGGAGAGUGGAAUUCCACGUGUAGCGGUGAAAUGCGUAGAGAUGUGGAGGAACACCAGUGGCGAAGGCGACUCUCUGGUCUGUAACUGACGCUGAGGAGCGAAAGCGUGGGGAGCGAACAGGAUUAGAUACCCUGGUAGUCCACGCCGUAAACGAUGAGUGCUAAGUGUUAGGGGGUUUCCGCCCCUUAGUGCUGCAGCUAACGCAUUAAGCACUCCGCCUGGGGAGUACGGUCGCAAGACUGAAACUCAAAGGAAUUGACGGGGGCCCGCACAAGCGGUGGAGCAUGUGGUUUAAUUCGAAGCAACGCGAAGAACCUUACCAGGUCUUGACAUCCUCUGACAAUCCUAGAGAUAGGACGUCCCCUUCGGGGGCAGAGUGACAGGUGGUGCAUGGUUGUCGUCAGCUCGUGUCGUGAGAUGUUGGGUUAAGUCCCGCAACGAGCGCAACCCUUGAUCUUAGUUGCCAGCAUUCAGUUGGGCACUCUAAGGUGACUGCCGGUGACAAACCGGAGGAAGGUGGGGAUGACGUCAAAUCAUCAUGCCCCUUAUGACCUGGGCUACACACGUGCUACAAUGGACAGAACAAAGGGCAGCGAAACCGCGAGGUUAAGCCAAUCCCACAAAUCUGUUCUCAGUUCGGAUCGCAGUCUGCAACUCGACUGCGUGAAGCUGGAAUCGCUAGUAAUCGCGGAUCAGCAGCCG